rnacentral:rRNA from 1 species
GAUCCUGGCUUAGGAUGAACGCUAGCGACAGGCUUAACACAUGCAAGUCGAGGGGCAGCACGGGAGUAGCAAUACUUGGUGGCGACCGGCGCACGGGUGAGUAACGCGUAUGCAACCUACCUAUCAGAGGGAAUAACCCGGCGAAAGUCGGACUAAUACCGCAUAAAACAGGGGCACCGCAUGGUGAUAUUUGUUAAAGAAAUUCGCUGAUAGAUGGGCAUGCGUUCCAUUAGGUAGUUGGUGAGGUAACGGCUCACCAAGCCGACGAUGGAUAGGGGAACUGAGAGGUUGGUCCCCCACACUGGUACUGAGACACGGACCAGACUCCUACGGGAGGCAGCAGUGAGGAAUAUUGGUCAAUGGGCGGGAGCCUGAACCAGCCAAGUCGCGUGAAGGAAGAAGGAUCUAUGGUUCGUAAACUUCUUUGCAGGGGAAUAAAGUGCAGGACGUGUCCUGUUUUGUAUGUACCCUGAGAAUAAGGAUCGGCUAACCCCGUGCCAGCAGCAGC